rnacentral:rRNA from 1 species
AACGAACGCUGGCGGCGCGCCUAACACAUGCAAGUCGAACGAGAAGGCGUAGCAAUACGCUUGUAAAGUGGCGAACGGGUGAGGAAUACAUGGGUAACCUACCCUCGAGUGGGGAAUAACUAGCCGAAAGGUUAGCUAAUACCGCGUACGCUCCUUGGACUUCGGUUCAGGGAGGAAAGCGAUACCGUGGGUAUCGCGCUCUUGGAUGGGCUCAUGUCCUAUCAGCUUGNGGUGAGGUAACGGCUCACCAAGGCUUCGACGGGUAGCUGGUCUGAGAGGACGAUCAGCCACACUGGCACUGCGACACGGGCCAGACUCCUACGGGAGGCAGCAGUAAGGAAUAUUGCGCAAUGGGCGAAAGCCUGACGCAGCGACGCCGCGUGGGGGAUGAAGGUCUUCGGAUUGU